UACGUAGGGUGCAAGCGUUGUCCGGAAUUAUUGGGCGUAAAGAGCUCGUAGGCGGUCUGUCGCGUCGGCUGUGAAAUCCCGGAGCUCAACUCCGGGUCUGCAGUCGAUACGGGCAAACUGGAGUACUGCAGGGGAGACUGGAAUUCCUGGUGUAGCAGUGAAAUGCGUAGAUAUCAGGAGGAACACCGAUGGCGAAGGCAGGUCUCUGGGCUGACACUGACGCUCAUGCACGAAAGCGUGGGGGAGCAAACAGG
rnacentral:rRNA from 1 species